CCUUCGAUAGCUCAGUUGGUAGAGCGGUGGACUGUAGUUGUGUUAUAUAUAGCAUAAUAUCUGGUGUAAAAACCAGAUGUUAUAGUAGUAAUCCAUAGGUCGCUGGUUCAAAUCCGGCUCGAAGGA
rnacentral:tRNA from 1 species